rnacentral:rRNA from 1 species
CAAGCGUUGUUCGGAUUCAUUGGGCGUAAAGGGUGCGUAGGUGGCUAGGUAAGUCGGAUGUGAAAUCCCCAGGCUUAACCUGGGAACUGCAUCCGAUACUGGAUGGCUUGAAUCCGGGAGAGGGAUGCAGAAUUCCAGGUGUAGCGGUGAAAUGCGUAGAUAUCUGGAGGAAUACCGGUGGCGAAGGCGGCAUCCUGGACCGGCAUUGACGCUGAGUGAGCGAAAGCCAGGGGAGCAAACGGG